AAAAGUUUCUAUUUGGAUUGAUGUUGGUCUGGAACACAAGGGGGUGGUCACAUAUUGUCUCUAGAGGUACGCCUUAUCUCCACCUUUGGGCCAGGCUUGGUAAUCCACAGGGUAUAUAUCCAAUGAUACUGAAAUGUGUAUUGUACUUGCUUGGGACCAAAAUCUAAUUUUGAGUAAGUUGCCAUCUUCCUUGCCAGAGACCCCUUGGGGAGAAGCUUUACUUUGAAAACCUAAG